GAUGAACGCUGGCGGCGUGCCUAAUACAUGCAAGUCGAGCGAACAGACGAGGAGCUUGCUCCUCUGACGUUAGCGGCGGACGGGUGAGUAACACGUGGAUAACCUACCUAUAAGACUGGGAUAACUUCGGGAAACCGGAGCUAAUACCGGAUAAUAUACUGAACCGCAUGGUUCAAUAGUGAAAGACGGUUUUGCUGUCACUUAUAGAUGGAUCCGCGCCGCAUUAGCUAGUUGGUAAGGUAACGGCUUACCAAGGCAACGAUGCGUAGCCUACCUGAGAGGGUGAUCGGCCACACUGGAACUGAGACACGGUCCAGACUCCUACGGGAGGCAGCAGUAGGGAAUCUUCCGCAAUGGGCGAAAGCCUGACGGAGCAACGCCGCGUGAGUGAUGAAGGUCUUCGGAUCGUAAAACUCUGUUAUUAGGGAAGAACAAAUGUGUAAGUAACUAUGCACGUCUUGACGGUACCUAAUCAGAAAGCCACGGCUAACUACGUG
rnacentral:rRNA from 1 species